UACGGAGGGUGCGAGCGUUGUCCGGAAUCACUGGGCGUAAAGGGCGCGUAGGCGGCCUGAUAAGUAGGGGGUGAAAUCCUGCGGCUUAACCGCAGGGCUGCCUUCUAAACUGUCAGGCUUGAGCACAGUAGAGGCAGGUGGAAUUCCCGGUGUAGCGGUGGAAUGCGUAGAGAUCGGGAAGAACAUCAGUGGCGAAGGCGGCCUGCUGGGCUGUUGCUGACGCUGAGGCGCGAAAGCUAGGGGAGCAAACGGG
rnacentral:rRNA from 1 species